UGAGUCGACCGGGUGGUCGCGGUGAUAAAAAUCGCUGAGGAAGGUCGGGGCUCCACAGGGCAAGGUGCUGGCUAACGGCCAGUCAAGGUGACUUGCAGGAUAGUGCAACAGAAAGCAAACCGCCGAUGGUUACACAGGCAAGGUUGAAACGGUGCGGUAAGAGCGCACCAGCGAUCGGGGUGACUCGGUCGGCUAUGAAAACCCCACCCGGAGCAAGGCCAAACGUUGGAGGGCUGCCCGCCCGUUAAUCCACAGGUAGGCUGCUAAGAUAGAUGGCCACCGCUUAGAAUACUAAGUACAGAACCCCGCCUAUAGGUCGACUCACCUG
rnacentral:RNase_P_RNA from 1 species